rnacentral:rRNA from 1 species
GCAAGGUGAGUGGCAGACGGGUGAGUAACGCGUGGGAACCUACCCUUUGGUACGGAAUAACUUCGGGAAACCGAAGCUAAUACCGUAUAUCUCCUCCGGGAGAAAGAUUUAUCGCCAAAGGAUGGGCCCGCGUUGGAUUAGCUAGUUGGUAGGGUAAAGGCCUACCAAGGCAACGAUCCAUAGCUGGUCUGAGAGGAUGAUCAGCCACACUGGGACUGAGACACGGCCCAGACUCCUACGGGAGGCAGCAGUGGGGAAUAUUGGACAAUGGGCGCAAGCCUGAUCCAGCCAUGCCGCGUGAGUGAAGAAGGCCUUAGGG